GUUGCUAACAGGUGAAAGUCUGUAGGCACUCUAAGCGAACUGCCGUUGACAAACGGAGGAAGGUGGGGAUGACGUCAAAUCAUCAUGCCCCUUAUGACCUGGGCUACACACGUGCUACAAUGGGCGGUACAAAGGGUCGCGAACCCGCGAGGGGGAGCCAAUCCCAAAAAGCCGCUCUCAGUUCGGAUUGCAGGCUGCAACUCGCCUGCAUGAAGCCGGAAUCGCUAGUAAUCGCGGAUCAGCAUGCCCGCGGUCGAAUACGUUCCGGCCUU
rnacentral:rRNA from 1 species